rnacentral:snoRNA from 1 species
AAGACUAUACUUCACAGGAUCAUUUCUGUAGUCAGUCUUCACAUACUUUCACACUAGCUGAAAGCCAAGUGCACCCGCGUUGAUGAGUUGGAUCGUUCUAUCCGGCAGCGUGAGGAUUUGUCCAGCUCUACUUUGUGGUGCAUUGCAUCACUUAAGAGCUUGGGCUUCGAUGAUCGCUCGGUUUGAACGGGUAGAGCGAAUUCUGAGUGGU